GCGCAUGCGUAUUGACAGCAGAAAAGGCGGGAAACGCACAGCACCCCGGGAGGUGUGGCUUUGUUACUGAAUCCUCCGGCGCUACCCCCACAAGGCUCUGCUCGCACGCAGGCGCAUGCGUAUGGACAGCAUAAACGGCGGGAAACGCGCAGCACUCGAGGAGGUGUAGCUUUGUUGCAGCGUCCUCUGUCCUCCGGCGCUGGGCCCAGUAAGCCGCUCAAGCAAGAAGUUAUGAAGGAGAUCUCAUCUUCAGAGGAAGAAAAAAAAGGUGGAGGAAUCUCUCACUUCAAAGGAGAUUAGGGAGAUGUGUAAAAUAUGGGAAACUGUAAAAUUCUGUAGAAAAGCACCAUUGGAAUAAAGUUGUAACAGUGCAUAUGAUGAUUGUUUAACCAUAAUGCAGUGUGAAAUCCAUGAAAGGAGACAAAAGCAAGUGUUAUUGGAGAGAUCAUUAAAGUUGCACAAAAUGGAAAAGAUUCCAUUGAGAUGAUAGUAAUGAUUCCCUUAGUGAUAGUGAAACUCAUUCUACACAAUUACCCUCCUCUCUCUUGUCUCCCUCACACCAGCC
rnacentral:lncRNA from 1 species